CAAUAGCGUAUAUUAAAGUUGUUGCAGUUAAAAAGCUCGUAGUUGGAUUUCUGGUAGGAGCGACCGUGCCGAACUUGAUUGUUCGAGUAUUGUGUUGUCUUCAGCCAUCCUCGUGGAGAACUUUUCUAACAUUAACUUGUUGGGAUUGGGACCCGCGUCGUUUACUGUGAAAAAAUUAGAGUGUUUAAAGCAGGCAUUAGCUUGAAUACAUUAGCAUGGAAUAAUAAGAUAGGACUUUGGUACUAUUUUGUUGGUUUGCAUACCAAAUUAAUGAUCAACAGGAACAGUUUGAGGAUAUUCGUAUGAACAUGUCGGAGGUGAAAUUCUUGGAUUUUGAUCAGACGAACUACUGCGAAAGCAUUUAUCAAGGAUGUUUUCAUUAA
rnacentral:rRNA from 1 species